AACGCCACCGGAGAAGGAGCUUCGUUCACAGGUUCACGAACGCGAUCAUCUUCCGCUGAACAUCUCAAAGAAUGUCUGCUUCUCGUUGUCUGAUUCACAGAAGCUUUCCCAAAGUUCGAAAAUUCUGCUCUGUCAAAGCGACGAAGAUGCAAACUGUGACAGGAUUUAAGAGUUAAGGAAGAUGAUGGAGUAGAAAC